rnacentral:tRNA from 1 species
UGGCUUAGUGGUAGAGUGCUUGCCUAGCAUGCAUGAAGCCCUGGGUUUGAUUUCCCAG